rnacentral:rRNA from 1 species
AAGUUCCUGUUUCUCAUCUCCGUCGCUAUGCUCUUUCUCAAAUAUUCUGUUAAGGGAUUCCAAAGAGAUCAAUAAUCCUAUAAACCUUGUCCAGUAACUAUAUCUCGUCUCUGCUGUAGUUAAAGAAAGAGAUUCCUAUGAAUGAAAUGACCGGUGACAAGGGCUAGAGACUGAGUGAAACGAAUAAAGAGUGAAACGAAGGGAAAGUUGAAAAGAAGACUGAACAAUAAGUGAAGCAGAAAUCGUUAAUAGGGUUAUGGCUCAGUUUGUCCGUUGGUAUGAAUCUUAAAGUCAGUAGUGUUUCUUAAAGUCUAUAUC